UACGUAGGGUGCGAGCGUUGUCCGGAAUUAUUGGGCGUAAAGAGCUCGUAGGCGGUCUGUCGCGUCGGUCGUGAAAACUUGGGGCUUAACCCUGAGCUUGCGGUCGAUACGGGCAUGACUGGAGUUCGGUAGGGGAGACUGGAAUUCCUGGUGUAGCGGUGAAAUGCGCAGAUAUCAGGAGGAACACCGAUUGCGAAGGCAGCUCGCUGGGACGUAACUGACGCUGAGACGCGAAAGCGUGGGGAGCAAACAGG
rnacentral:rRNA from 1 species